rnacentral:rRNA from 1 species
CCAGGACCAAGGUCAGCAGCAGGCGCGAAAAUUAUCGAAGCCCGCCUAGGGGCGAUAGUGAGGAGACGUGUAUAACGAAGUACGUGUAAAGAACGUACUAAUAACUGGAGGUCAAGUCUGGUGCCAGCAUCCGUGGUAAUUCCAGCUCCAGGGGUGUCUAUGAUGAUUGCUGCGAUUAAAAAGUCCGUAGUCAAGCUGCCUGACUGACCUGCAAUGUGAUUGAUUAAGGAACGAGCAGGGUUAGGAAAGCAGAGAAUUAGGAGCGACCGAGGGCUAGAGUAUUGAAUGGCGAGAGGUGAAAUUUGAUGACCCAUUCAGGAGUGACAAAGGCGAAGGCACUAGUCAAGGGCGAAUCCGAUGAUCAAGGACGUAGGCUAGAGUUUCGAAAACGAUUAGAGACCGGAGUAGUUCUAGCAGUAAACUAUGCCGACGCCGUGGUAUGGUUUUUUGUGGCUGUAUUGCGGAAGAGAAAUCAAGUAAGGCUUUGGGGAGAGUACGCGCGCAAGCGAUAAAUU